CCCUUUAAUGUUUGAUGUUCUAACGUUGGCCCCUUACCGGGGUUGCGGACAGUGUCUGGUGGGUAGUUUGACUGGGGCGGUCUCCUCCCAAAGCGUAACGGAGGAGCACGAAGGUUAGCUAAUCCUGGUCGGACAUCAGGAGGUUAGUGCAAUGGCAUAAGCUAGCUUGACUGCGAGCGUGACGGCGCGAGCAGGUGCGAAAGCAGGUCAUAGUGAUCCGGUGGUUCUGAAUGGAAGGGCCAUCGCUCAACGGAUAAAAGGUACUCCGGGGAUAACAGGCUGAUACCGCCCAAGAGUUCAUAUCGACGGCGGUGUUUGGCACCUCGAUGUCGGCUCAUCACAUCCUGGGGCUGAAGUAGGUCCCAAGGGUAUGGCUGUUCGCCAUUUAAAGUGGUACGCGAGCUGGGUUUAGAACGUCGUGAGACAGUUCGGUCCCUAUCUGCCGUGGGCGCUGGAGAAUUGAGGGGGGCUGCUCCUAGUACGAGAGGACCGGAGUGGACGCAUCACUGGUGUU
rnacentral:rRNA from 1 species